rnacentral:lncRNA from 1 species
AGUCUGGUACAUCGUCAUACUGUACAUUCUUUUUUGUUGAUGAUCUGAAGGCGAUAAAUACUGGAGAUCCGUUUGGCAUUUCAUAUUUCCAUUUUCCAAACAUCAGACCAUCUGGUACUUCUAGACGACAAGGCAUAGUAAUAGUGUCUCCAUAUACUGCAUUUACUGUAUACAAUCCCAGAGCUGGCGGCAUGCAGAGGGCUGCGAGCAGCAGGCAGAGCAGCGGGCGGCGGCGGCAGGAGGCGCGGGCGGCGGCGGCGGGGGGCUCCAUCAUCCCGCCUGCCCGCGGCGGGACCGGGAGGCGACGGGGAGGCGGCGAGGCGGCGGCGGCGGCCCGCGGGGCUCUUCCCUCCGGCUGCGGAGCGCGGAGGCAACUUCUCUCCUCGCGCGGCCGUGCGCGGGCGCGGCAAGUGGCGGGGCGGCUGCUCUCCCUCUCGGCGCGCGGCGAGGAGCGACUCCGCACCGGAGCAGGUGGCGGCUUCCCUCUGGCAGCCGAGCGGCGCUCCAGGACUGAGAGCGGCGGCGGGGAGGCGGGGCCGGCUGCGGCGGCGGAGAUGGCCCGGCCCCUCCGGCCCGCCCGGCGCACGCAACGGGCGGCGGGGCGGGGGAAGCCCGGGUGCGGCCGCCCCCGUCGCCGGAGCCGCGGUCCCCAGAGCCCCGGGAGGCGCCGCCGAGGGGGAGCGGGACCGUGGGGUUGGGGAGCACGGCGAGCCCCGUGCCGGCCGCCCCGCCCCUCCCCGCGUUCUGUGUCCGCGGUCGAGGCGUGUGUCGGGUGGGAGUAUCGCAAAUCGCGAGCUUGAAAGAUAGAAAUGCCCGUUGCGCUGGCUGCGUAGCCAAAAGGAAAGCUCACAGCGGUCGGUGGAGCAGAGGGCUUGGAAGGCGGGGAGCUUAGGGCGCUGCUGGAUGAGUGAAGGAACGCACCGAAGGACGAGGGAGCGUGUGUUCGGCACGUCUGCCCCGAAGACGAGAACGAUGCCCGCAGCGGUCACGGAACGCGGACAUGUCGCCCGCUGCACGGCGAGGGCGGGCUGGGAGGUGGGCGCCCCGAAGUCACACGGCGAGUUCUGCCCGAGAAAUACGCCUGGUGUCCAAAAGCUGAAAGCGUGAAUUACGCGCGUCAUGUGGUCCCUCCAGAGGGACUUUACAGUAGCGAAAUCCGAAGCGACAAGAGCUCUGACUUACUUCAUGCGAGCUUUUAGACAGGAACUUCCCCAAAAGUCCUGGAAAUCAAAGACACGCUUCAGUAGAUAUAUUUGCUGUUCUCAAAACAGUUUCCACGAUGACUAAAAACUGAGAACACUUCGAUAUUUCUGUGGUGCAGAGUAGAUUUAAAAUAGCACCGUCUGUGCCUGUAUUUCCCCACGUACUGCGCUUGUUUCCAGUAAAAUGAGGCAACGGUGUUUCACUUUAAGAGCUUUAAGUCUAAAGCAUUGUCUUCAACUCACAUCAUCCUUCUACUCUUCCACGUUAUUAUUAUCUUUAUAAUUGCCACUGGCACAGUUACAAAUGGAGGGCCUAAUCCUGACUUCAUUGACAUGGACAAGCCUGAUAAAGCCAUUGGGAUUGGGGAUGGGAGAAGAGAUUGAAAAGUCAAACUCUAAAAACUGUCUGAAGGCAAACAAAUGUAGAAGACAAGAGGGCUUAUAGGGCAGAAUGAAUCAUGGAGCACUUAAUGUAUGUCUAGUUUUGAACAUGGCAAUAGCGAGUUCAAUCUGACAGUAUCCAACUAAUAAAUGGUUUGCUGGAUGAGAGAAGUAAAUAAUGCCCAAGCACCUUGUUUUUAAAGCAGAUGAAUAGCUGUUCGCUCAUUUGCAUAAAAAUAAUGGAUAGUAUAUGUUUUCUGUCAGUGGAAGCGAGGAAAUGCUUGUGAAUGUUGCAAGUAAUUUCCAGUGGCAUGGUGCAGAGACUAAAAUGUGAGCUAGAGAACAGUGCAUUCCAAGCAGGCAAGCGUUUUAAAAUGUAUGCUUAUGAUACCAUUAAAAAAAAUAUUUGAUGACUUUUGCUCUCGUGUCAAUACUGGAUGUGCUGUUAAAAGUCCAUAAUAAACAUGAGAAAUGCAGAAGAUAACAUUGUGGACAUAAUACUGAAAUCAGAACCAUGAUUUGUUGUGGGUUUCCCUCACUACUUUGUCAUUUCUCUUCAAAGCUGUUUCUACCUUUCACUUGAAAGGAGCUCUUUGAGUUCUGAGUAAAUAGAAAACAUCUCAAGCUCAGAUUACUCAAAUGUUUUGAUAACUUUACAGGAAUUUAAAUGUGAUUAGAAAUUGUCAAGGUAAUUAUUAAAGAUAUCUUUAUGUGCUGUGUCAUUUAAACUGUUCUCACCACUGAGAUUGUAAUUAAUUCCUUUAAUGUCUGUUGGGCUGACACAAUAUAGAACUGUUUUUUUUUUUUUUUUUUUUUUUUUUUUUUUUAACAAAUUAUGUUCCUGGGGCAUGCUCCUGUUCCCCUUGAAGUUAAUAGGAGUAUGAGUGAGUCACUGCUCUGCUGGGAGAACAGCAACUGCCUGGCUUUAAAGUCCAAAGUAAACAUUUUUUUUUUGAAGAAGAAGUUAAAACAGUUACUAGUAUAUUUUUUUCUUCUGUAGAAAAUAACUGUGUUACAAAAGCAGCACUAAUAAAACAAAAAACCUCUGAAAUAUGCUUAAUCCUAUCAAACCAUACAUUUUUUA